rnacentral:rRNA from 1 species
UGGGGAAUUUUGGACAAUGGGCGAAAGCCUGAUCCAGCAAUGCCGCGUGCAGGAUGAAGGCCUUCGGGUUGUAAACUGCUUUUGUACGGAACGAAAAACGCUCCUUCUAAUACAGGGGGGUCCCAUGACGGUACCGUAAGAAUAAGCACCGGCUAACUACGUGCCAGCAGCCGCGGUAACACGUAGGGUGCGAGCGUUAAUCGGAAUUACUGGGCGUAAAGCGUGCGCAGGCGGUUAUGUAAGACAGAUGUGAAAUCCCCGGGCUCAACCUGGGAACUGCAUUUGUGACUGCAUGGCUAGAGUACGGUAGAGGGGGAUGGAACUCCGCGUGUAGCAGUGAAAUGCGUAGAUAUGCGGAGGAACACCGAUGGCGAAGGCAAUCCCCUGGACCUGUACUGACGCUCAUGCACGAAA